CCGUAUCUUAUCGACGAAAUUGUUGAUGCCGUUCGCGGUUCCUUUUUUAUUUAUUUUCCGUCGCGUCCGUUUUUUUUUUCGUUUCAAACGUUUUUUUGUGAGUGCGUUUUAUUAGUUCAUCGCAUUAAUCGUAUUAUUUAAUAUUCGAUUUGUAUAACCGAAAAAUCGGAUGGUUUCAUUUCAUAUAUUGAUUUGAUGCGAAAGAGUUUAAUGAUAUUACUAAACGAAUUAUAAAAUGAAGAAAACAUGGUACGUAUUACGUUUAAAUUAUAAUUUGUUUUUUAUAAGUGUUAAAUACGUUUAAUACCAUUUGUUUUGCCAAACGAUGUAGGGAGAUAGCUGUUGUAUGAUUUCGUUUUACUUUUUUCAUUCGAAUGCAAUUUGAUUCAACGUGUCGUCGGUGCUAAUGAUACUAACGUAAAUAACGAUAAAACGUACACAGCCAUAAAAUAAAGAAAAUUUGUUUUAGUAAUGAGUCUUACAGUAUCAGCCGUUACACUUGGACGAAAGGAAAUGAAAAUUUCUAUGAUAUUAUGAAGGGAUAUAUAGCUGUUGUAUGUUUUCAUUUUACUUUUUUUCUUUGGAAUGGAAUUGAAUUCAAUGUGUUAUUAGUGUUAAUAAUACUAUUUGA